CAAUAACUCCAUUUUGGUCUUUCAAUCGCGGACCAAAAUGCUUAAGCGGGAGUUAACGUAGUACACUCAUUAGGCCCUUAUAAGCUAAUCAUACACAUUGCCCACUUCCGAUGUGGGACUAAUGGGAUGUUACAGGUGGCACCGCCCAAGGGCCCCUUUAUAAGCCGAAGGGUUAGGGCCGGCGGUGACACCGCCCCCAACCCAUGAGAAACUGGCUCAAGCUCUCCCACAACCUCUCUAAACCCUCAUUCCAACCUUUAGAAGCCUUGGAGAGGGAUUCUUGUUGGUCCAAGC
rnacentral:lncRNA from 1 species